rnacentral:rRNA from 1 species
GGGGAAUUUUGGACAAUGGGGGAAACCCUGAUCCAGCCAUCCCGCGUGUGCGAUGAGGGCCUUCGGGUUGUAAAGCACUUUUGGCAGGGAAGAAACGGCGCCGGAUAAUACCUGGCGCAACUGACGGUACCUGCAGAAUAAGCACCGGCUAACUACGUGCCAGCAGCCGCGGUAAUACGUAGGGUGCAAGCGUUAAUCGGAAUUACUGGGCGUAAAGCGUGCGCAGGCGGUUCGGAAAGAAAGAUGUGAAAUCCCAGAGCUUAACUUUGGAACUGCAUUUUUAACUGCCGAGCUAGAGUAUGUCAGAGGGGGGUAGAAUUCCACGUGUAGCAGUGAAAUGCGUAGAGAUGUGGAGGAAUACCGAUGGCGAAGGCAGCCCCCUGGGAUAAUACUGACGCUCAUGCACGAAAGCGUGGGGAGCAAAC